AGUAAGUGAGACAUACCCUGAAAUUUCCAAAACUGUAUAGAAAAAAUCCAGAGACUGGGUCAAAACUAUUACUCAUGUAAGGAAACAACUAAGGGAAUUAACUGUUAAUUUAAUACCAUUUAUACUUAUAUGCAGGAAGUCUUAAAUAAUUCAAGCCACAUAUUUUUUUACAGCAACAGGAAAGAUGGAAGCAGCAAUGAAAAUGUAUUCCAGGGCUAUUAUACAAGAAAACCUCAAGAACUUUAGAUACCUUUGAUCCUCAGAAGAAUAGUGUGAGAUUUUGAGCAUGAAUAGGCUUAAAGAAGCGUCGAGCCAUUGCGGAACCACUGCAACCUCUGCCAUGAUUGCAAUUGCCAGGGUAUGUGAUUGCACAACUGCCAAGUCAGGAACAGCCAAAAGAAGAGGCCCAAUUGGCAAGGAAAUGUAGUCUCCAUCUCCUGCCGACAGCCACGGGAGUGAGUGAGUUUGAAAACAGACCCCCUAUCCCCAGUCAAGUCUUCAGAUGAGUGGUGUCCCAGGCAACACGUUUAUUAUAAGCUCAGGGGAAACUCAGAAUCAUCCAGCUAUGCUGCUCCCAGAUUCCUGGCCUUCAGAAACUGUGUGAGAUAAAAAAUUUUUGUUGUUUUAAAAUGUUAAUAUUCAGGUAAAUUUGUUAUGCAUCAACAGAGUAAUAAUGAUAUGAAGGCAGAGCUGUUAUCAGAGGCUCAUGUUCUUGACAGAAAUUUCUUGAGUAAAGGGUGGAAUCACUAUUGUUUGUUUUCAGGUUUUAACAACACACUUGAAUGAUAUAAAGAAAGUUAAAAUUAUUAGUUAAAAUAGUUCAAUUAUUAGCUCAAAGUUGAAAUUAUCAUUUUUAAUGGGCCAUUACUCAGUCACAGGGAUGGAAAGCACUGAUGGCACUCUGCAUUUACCAAACCACUUUGGCCACAGUUAGCAUUUCUGGCUAUUUACUGAGGCUCCACCUAAUCAGGGCAGAUCUUAUAUCCACCUCUCCUGUUGGGGUGAAUAAAAACUUCUUACAAUCCCUGCAGUUGAUAACAACUUUGCAAACAACAUUCACAGGUGUAUUGGAUUCUUUAUAUUGUGACAACAGAACCUCAGACUGAGUACUUAAAAGAGAUUCUAUUUUUCAGACAAAAAACUAUUUACCUAGCAAUCUUUUCAAGUAGAUCAGUGUUGUAAUCAUGGCUUGCCACAUGAGGAAGCAUGCUAAACAGUCCCUCCUUGUUCAUUAAAAAUAUCAGGCUUAGACAAGCAUAAAAAUGAAGGUAACCAUGAAUCCAUGCCAAAGUCCAAGAGGCAAUAUGUCAUCACUGGUGAACAGGUGGAGAAAACCUCCUACGAGUUGAUUUUCAUGAGAUUUCACAAACUUCAAGCCACAGCCAAAGCUGGCCGUGACUUCCUAGACGGAGAAAAGAGAGCGAAUACCAGCACAAGGUUGUCAAGGGAAGGGGACAAUUCUGAUGACAGCCUGGCAUCCACAUUCAAAUAGUUUCCCAGGUAUCUCCCAUUUGUAUUCCCUUUGGGAUCCAUAACAGAGGGGACCUGAAUAAAACAUGAAACAAUGUUGUGUCACUAAAAACUGUCAGAUAUUGGGAGCACUGCCUGGAAUUCAUUUAGCAGAGUGGAGUACUAACAAAAAUUAACCUGUGAAUUGUGACAUGUUGGGGAUGCCUCCAGGAGGGGUGCAGUGGCACUUAUACCAGAGAAGAGGAUACACUAGCACAACAAAAUGUGAUGGAGAUACCCUUUGGAGUAUUUCAGUGUCCAGAGAGCAGUGUAAUCCCCCAGAAAUGGCUUGUUUUGUAAGCAAAUGUAAAGCAACCUCUGGAUACUCCCAGGAAUAUUUUGGAGGUGGAGCCUUUCCAAAGUAGAGACAAGGGCCAAUGGAAUCUGAGUAAUUAAAAUUGCCAUGACCAUAGAAGUGUUUCCAUGCCCAUGAGGCCUGGGAAGAAUCAGGUUUCAUGUAUAUGCAUAUUUUAAACAGAAAGCCGAGAAAGGAAGAAAGAAGAAAGGCAGUUUCUAAGAAUUAGGAUAGAUAGAUUACGUCCUUGCAACAGGUAUAAGGACUUCUAAGGGAGAUAUACUGCAACUACAAAGACACAAGGCUUAGUAACUUCAUAUUAUAAUCUAAUAUAUAAAGAGCAUACAGUAUACCAUCUUAGUAUACAGAGAUCCUGCAUUAUAUUUGAUUUCUAUUGGUGUUUUAACAAAUUACAACAAACUUAGCUGCUUAAAACAACAAAAAAUCAUUAAAUUACAGUUCUGGAGAUCAGAAGUCCAAAAUCAGUGUCAGUGGGUGAAAAUCAAGGUGUUGGCAGGCCUGCAUGCCUUAUGUAGACCCUAGGGGAGAGUCCGAUCUCUUGCCUUCUGUAGCUUCUGGACCCUGACUAUGUUCCCUGGCUCACAGACCCUCCUCAAUCUUAAAAACCAGCUGGGUAGCAUCUUCUCUUUUCUUUGACCUCUACUUCUGUGUUUACAUUGUCUCUCUCCAAUUUUGAUCCUCCUGUCUCCCUCUUAUAAGGAUGCUUGUGAUUAUAAUACAUUGGCUGACCCAGAUAAUUCUGAAUAAUCUUCCUAUCUCAAGAUCAUUAAUUAUAUCUGCAAAUUCUCUUUUACCAUGUAAGACAACAUAUUCACACAUUCUGAGGAUUAGGACUUAAACACUGUUGGAAUGGGGAGUGUAUUAGUCUGUUUUCACGUUGCUGAUAAAGACAUAACCAAGACUGCACAAUUUACAGAAGA